GUGUCAGCCGCCGCGGUAAUACAGAGGGUGCGAGCGUUAAUCGGAAUUACUGGGCGUAAAGGGCGCGUAGGCGGUUGAUUAAGUUAGAUGUGAAAUUCCCGGGCUUAACCUGGGGACUGCAUUUGAUACUGAUUGACUAGAGUAUGGUAGAGGGGAGUGGAAUUUCCGGUGUAGCGGUGAAAUGCGUAGAUAUCGGAAGGAACACCAGUGGCGAAGGCGACUCUCUGGGCCAAUACUGACGCUGAGGCGCGAAAGCGUGGGGAUCGAACAGGAUUAGAUACCCGUGUAGUCC
rnacentral:rRNA from 1 species